rnacentral:rRNA from 1 species
AGAGUUUGAUCCUGGCUCAGAACGAACGCUGGCGGCAGGCCUAACACAUGCAAGUCGAACGCCCCGCAAGGGGAGUGGCAGACGGGUGAGUAACGCGUGGGAACGUGCCCCAAGGUACGGAACAACUCCGGGAAACUGGAGCUAAUACCGUAUGUGCCCGAAAGGGGAAAGAUUUAUCGCCUUGGGAUCGGCCCGCGUCUGAUUAGCUAGUUGGUAGGGUAACGGCCUACCAAGGCUACGAUCAGUAGCUGGUCUGAGAGGAUGAUCAGCCACACUGGGACUGAGACACGGCCCAGACUCCUACGGGAGGCAGCAGUGGGGAAUAUUGGACAAUGGGCGCAAGCCUGAUCCAGCCAUGCCGCGUGAGUGAUGAAGGCCCUAGGGUUGUAAAGCUCUUUCGGCGGGGACGAUAAUGACGGUACCCGCAGAAGAAGCCCCGGCUAACUUCGUGCCAGCAGCCGCGGUA